GUCUCUGACCAUACUACCCUAAAUGUGCCCAAUUUUGUCUGAUCUCAAAAGCUAAGCAGGAUAGGGCUUGGUUAGUAGCGGGAUGGGAGACCAUCUGGGAAUACCAUGUGCUAUAGGCU
ensembl:rRNA 5S_rRNA 5S ribosomal RNA